AAUCAACGCUGGCGGCGUGCCUCAGACAUGCAAGUCGAACGAUUAAAGCUCUCUUCGGAGAGUGUAUAGAGUGGCGCACGGGUGAGUAACACGUAAGUAAUCUACCUUCGAGUGGGGAAUAACGUCCGGAAACGGACGCUAAUACCGCAUAAUGCAGCGGCAUCGCAAGAUGACAGUUGUUAAAGAUUUAUCGCUUGAAGAGGAGCUUGCGGCAGAUUAGCUAGUUGGUAAGGUAACGGCUUACCAAGGCUACGAUCUGUAUCCGGUCUAAGAGGACGGUCGGACACACUGACACUGAAUAACGGGUCAGACUCCUACGGGAGGCAGCAGUCGGGAAUUUUGGGCAAUGGGCGAAAGACCUGACCCAGCAACGCCGCGUGAAGGAUGAAGUAUUUCGGUAUGUAAACUUC
rnacentral:rRNA from 1 species